rnacentral:rRNA from 1 species
AGUGAACGCUGGCGGUAGGCCUAACACAUGCAAGUCGAACGGCAGCACAGUAAGAGCUUGCUCUUACGGGUGGCGAGUGGCGGACGGGUGAGGAAUACAUCGGAAUCUACUUUUUCGUGGGGGAUAACGUAGGGAAACUUACGCUAAUACCGCAUACGACCUACGGGUGAAAGCAGGGGAUCUUCGGACCUUGCGCGAUUGAAUGAGCCGAUGUCGGAUUAGCUAGUUGGCGGGGUAAAGGCCCACCAAGGCGACGAUCCGUAGCUGGUCUGAGAGGAUGAUCAGCCACACUGGAACUGAGACACGGUCCAGACUCCUACGGGAGGCAGCAGUGGGGAAUAUUGCACAAUGGGCGCAGGCCUGAUCCAGCCAUACCGCGUGGGUGAAGAAGGCCUUCGGGUUGUAAAGCCCUUUUGUUGGGAAAGAAAAGCAGCAGGUUAAUACCCCGCUGUUCUGACGGUACCCAAAGAAUAAGCACCGGCUAACUUCGUG